rnacentral:rRNA from 1 species
GACGAACGCUGGCGGCGUGCUUAACACAUGCAAGUCGAACGGUGAUGUCAGAGCUUGCUCUGGCGGAUCAGUGGCGAACGGGUGAGUAACACGUGAGUAACCUGCCCCCGACUCUGGGAUAACUGCUAGAAAUGGUAGCUAAUACCGGAUAUGACGAUUGGCCGCAUGGUCUGGUCGUGGAAAGAAUUUCGGUUGGGGAUGGACGCGCGGCCUAUCAGGUUGUUGGUGAGGUAAUGGCUCACCAAGCCUACGACGGGUAGCCGGCCUGAGAGGGUGACCGGCCACACUGGGACUGAGACACGGCCCAGACUCCUACGGGAGGCAGCAGUGGGGAAUAUUGCACAAUGGGCGAAAGCCUGAUGCAGCAACGCCGCGUGAGGGAUGACGGCCUUCGGGUUGUAAACCUCUUUUAGUAGGGAAGAAGCGAAAGUGACGGUACCUGCAGAAAAAGCACCGGCUAACUACGUGCCAGCAGCCGCGGUAAUACGUAGGGUGCAAGCGUUGUCCGGAAUUAUUGGGCGUAAAGAGCUCGUAGGCGGUUUGUCGCGUCUGCUGUGAAAUCCCGAGGCUCAACCUCGGGUCUGCAGUGGGUACGGGCAGACUAGAGUGCGGUAGGGGAGAUUGGAAUUCCUGGUGUAGCGGUGGAAUGCGCAGAUAUCAGGAGGAACACCGAUGGCGAAGGCAGAUCUCUGGGCCGUAACUGACGCUGAGGAGCGAAAGCAUGGGGAGCGAACAGGAUUAGAUACCCUGGUAGUCCAUGCCGUAAACGUUGGGAACUAGAUGUGGGGACCAUUCCACGGUCUCCGUGUCGCAGCUAACGCAUUAAGUUCCCCGCCUGGGGAGUACGGCCGCAAGGCUAAAACUCAAAGGAAUUGACGGGGGCCCGCACAAGCGGCGGAGCAUGCGGAUUAAUUCGAUGCAACGCGAAGAACCUUACCAAGGCUUGACAUAUACCGGAAACAUGCAGAAAUGUGUGCCCCGCAAGGUCGGUAUACAGGUGGUGCAUGGUUGUCGUCAGCUCGUGUCGUGAGAUGUUGGGUUAAGUCCCGCAACGAGCGCAACCCUCGUUCUAUGUUGCCAGCACGUAAUGGUGGGAACUCAUAGGAGACUGCCGGGGUCAACUCGGAGGAAGGUGGGGAUGACGUCAAAUCAUCAUGCCCCUUAUGUCUUGGGCUUCACGCAUGCUACAAUGGCCGGUACAAAGGGCUGCGAUACCGUAAGGUGGAGCGAAUCCCAAAAAGCCGGUCUCAGUUCGGAUUGAGGUCUGCAACUCGACCUCAUGAAGUCGGAGUCGCUAGUAAUCGCAGAUCAGCAACGCUGCGGUGAAUACGUUCCCGGGCCUUGUACACACCGCCCGUCAAGUCAUGAAAGUCGGUAACACCCGAAGCCAGUGGCCUAACCGCAAGGGAGGAGCUGUCGAAGGUGGGAUCGGUGAUUAGGACUAAGUCGUAACAAGGUA